rnacentral:rRNA from 1 species
CGGAGCGAAAGCUUUGCUAAUACCGCAUACGAUCUACGGAUGAAAGCAGGGGACCCUCGGGCCUUGCGCGAACGGAGCGGCCGAUGGCAGAUUAGGUAGUUGGUGGGAUAAAAGCUUACCAAGCCGACGAUCUGUAGCUGGUCUGAGAGGACGACCAGCCACACUGGGACUGAGACACGGCCCAGACUCCUACGGGAGGCAGCAGUGGGGAAUUUUGGACAAUGGGCGAAAGCCUGAUCCAGCAAUGCCGCGUGCAGGAUGAAGGCCUUCGGGUUGUAAACUGCUUUUGUACGGAACGAAAAGUCUCGGGAUAAUACCCUGGGACCAUGACGGUACCGUAAGAAUAAGCACCGGCUAACUACGUGCCAGCAGCCGCGGUAAUACGUAGGGUGCAAGCGUUAAUCGGAAUUACUGGGCGUAAAGCGUGCGCAGGCGGUUAUAUAAGACAGAUGUGAAAUCCCCGGGCUCAACCUGGGAACUGCAUUUGUGACUGUAUAGCUAGAGUACGGUAGAGGGGGAUGGAAUUCCACGUGUAGCAGUGAAAUGCAUAGAUAUGCGGAGGAACACCUAUUGCAAAGGCAAUCCCCUGGACCUGUACUGACGCUCAUGCACG